rnacentral:rRNA from 1 species
GACGAACGCUGGCGGCGCGCUUAACACAUGCAAGUCGAACGGAAAGGCCUGCUUUCCCUUGUGGAUUGCGGGUACUCGAGUGGCGAACGGGUGAGUAACACGUGAGUGAUCUGCCCCCAACUUGGGUAUAAGCCUGGGAAACUGGGUCUAAUUCCCGAUAGGACUGCAGGGUGGUGCCUGUGGUGGAACACGAUUUUCUAGUGGUUGGGGAUGAGCUCGCGGCCUAUCAGCUUGUUGGUGGGGUAAUGGCCUACCAAGGCGGCGACGGGUAGCCGGCCUGAGAGGGUGGACGGCCACAUUGGGACUGGGAUACGGCCCAGACUCCUACGGGAGGCAGCAGUGGGGAAUAUUGCACAAUGGGCGGAAGCCUGAUGCAGCGACGCCGCGUGGGGGAUGACGGCCUUCGGGUGGUAAACUCCUUUCGACCGCGAGGAAGCCACCUGGUUGGAAGGGUGGUGACGGUAGUGGUAGAAGAAGCACCGGCUAACUACGUG